CUGGGUUGCCUCCAUUUUGGAAGCUGCUGCCAACAAGAGGAAGAACCGGAGACGGAGACAUGAGGUCUAUCGGCUGAUUGGACGGAAACUGCGGAACGCUGGGAUCGGACUGUGCCGCUGCACACGGCCCACCUACGUCUACCCCCCGGAGCUGAAGACCGGCCGUGCGACAGACCUUUCCCGGGGAAAUCCGGGAUUUCCCGGACCCCCAGCACAGCAGGGUUGUUCAUGUGACCCUGGAGGAUCUGUGGCGAUUGGACAGUGCGCUGAGUGAGUGAGCAGGGAUCAUCCAGCAGGGAUCCACCAAUGGGGGAACCCAUCAGCGAUCCACCAAUCAGAACAUCCGACAGUGAUCCACCAAUCAGAACAGCCGACGGCGAUCCACCAAUCAGAACAUCCGACAGCGCAUCCACCAAUCAGAACAUCCGACGGCAAUCCACCAAUCAGAACAUCCGACGGCAAUCCACCAAUCAGAAUAUGCAUCAGGGAUCCACCAAUGGGAACGU